AGGUGUGGAUUCUUAGCACAUCCCAGGAGGCCCUUUGCAUGAUUGUCUCAAUCUCACAGUCAGUACCCGGGGGAGUCUCACCUUCAGAUAAGAAGCUGGGGAGAAAUUUGAUGUCACACCCAGUGGUGCUCAAAACUUACUCCUGGCUCUGAGCUCAGGGAUCAUUCAUGGUAUGGAUUGGGAGACCCUGUGGAGUGCCAAAGAUCAAACCAAGCUACACUCAGGAAGAAUUCAGAAGAAAUCACAGAUGGUGUUUUCCUGUGUGGAAUGGGAUGGGAUCUCAGACUGGCCUUCUGCCCUGUACCCUCUGCUUUCCUGGAGUUUGGCUUAGAGCUGCUUUCUUUCCUAUCCACCAGCAUUUCUGGUGACUGUGAUUUUUGCCUGUCACCCACCCUGGAGAUCUGCUUCCACCAGCUCCUCUAAGACUGCAGAUGACAAAGCACCGUUAAAGGCAACGCCUGACCUUCACUUGUGAAUCCCAACCUGGGAGGUGCAAUUCUGUCCUUGACUUUAUGGGGUUUCUCCAACUUUCCUAGG